GGGGUGAGAAAAGUCUGGGAAACUGCCUGAUGGAGGGGGAUAACUACUGGAAACGGUAGCUAAUACCGCAUAACGUCUCAAGACCAAAGAGGGGGACCUUCGGGCCUCUUGCCAUCACAUGUGCCCAGAUGGGAUUAGCUAGUAGGUGGGGUAAUGGCUCACCUAGGCGACAAUCCCUAGCUGGUCUGAGAGGAUGACCAGCCACACUGGAACUGAGACACGGUCCACACUCCUACGGGAGGCAGCAGUGGGGAAUAUUGCACAAUGGGCGCAAGCCUGAUGCAGCCAUGCCGCGUGUGUGAAGAAAGCCUUCUGGUUGUAAAGUACUUUCAGCGAGGAGGAAGGCGUUGAGGUUAAUAACCUUAUUGAUUGACGUUACUCGCAGAAAAAACACCGGCUAACUCCGUGCCAGCAGCCGCGGUAAUACAGAGGGUGCAAGCGUUAAUCGCAAUUACUGGGCGUAAAGCGCACGCACGCGGUCUGUCAAGUCUGAUGUGAAAUCCCCGGGCUCUACCUGGGAACUGCAUUCUAAACUGGCACGCUAGAGUCUUGUAUAGAGGGGUAUAAUUCCAGGUGUAUCGCUGAAAUGCGUAUAGAUCUGGAGAAAUACCGGUGUC
rnacentral:rRNA from 2 species